rnacentral:rRNA from 1 species
AUUGAACGCUGGCGGCAGGCCUAACACAUGCAAGUCGAACGAGUGGCGGACGGGUGAGUAAUGUCUGGGAAACUGCCCGCUGGAGGGGGAUAACUACUGGAAACGGUAGCUAAUACCGCAUACCAUCGGAUGUGCCCAGAUGGGAGUAGCUAGUAGGUAGGGUAACGGCUCACCUAGGCGACGUUCCCUAGCCGAUCGGAGAGGAUGACCAGCCACACUGGAACUGAGACACGGUCCAGACUCCUACGGGAGGCAGCAGUGGGGAAUAUUGCACAAUGGGCGCAAACCUGAUGCAGCCAGGCCGCGUGUAGGAAGGAAGCCUUCGGGUUGUAAAGUACUUUCAGCGGGGAGGCGUUACGCGCAGAAGAAGCACCGGCUAACUCCGUGCCAGCAGCCGCGGUAAUUC